UUUAAUUUAAUUAAAAAUACAAAGGAGAAAAAAACGUAGGUAAAAUGAAAAUUUCUUCGAUGAAAAACUAAAUGUUCGAUCGUUCACUUUAUUUAUUUUAUUUACGUUUAAAAAUGCCUUACAAUAGUUAUUUUUCUCGGAAUUUUGUAAAUUUUAUGAUUGAUAUGACGCAGAAGGUUAAAAUUAUUCGCACAAUCUUCCCCGACGGCGACCUGACGCGCUUCAUUCACGACCGAGCGGCGUACGCGUCGCCAUCUUGCGAGUUGCGCGCGAGCUGCCACGCGCACAGCAGUAUGGCCGCCGUCGCGAUACCUUUAAUUAGUGACAAGUGAAUCGUUCCGCGUUUUCUCGCGUUCAGUGGCGAGCGAGGGGAGCGCAUCCGACCGCUGCACGCGCGGCAGACCCUGGCGGACCUCGAUGAAUCGGUAAGCAUUUAUAAAAAAAGAAGCUCAUCACCUGAAGAAGCUAAAAACCGCUGUGUCUAAUACGUUAAGGUAACCGACACAAUUUGCAUGAUGAACAUGCUUCUCGCGUGAGAAGCGUUCAUAAGUGACCUCUUGAGAACGCCUAUAAAAAAAUUGCGCUUGCAAAAUAGUGCUAAAGCGUUGCACUCUAUUUUCUAAAGAAUCCGACACAUGUGCCAUUGCCAUUAUGCACAACUAUUUCUUGGAGUCGUCAAGUCCACACGUGUUCGUGCACGGCCGUGUCCCUCAGAGAGACGAAAGAGAGAAGCUCGCGAUCUAUCGAUGCCGUUCGCGAUUGCGCAUCGCGAAACGCAAAUAUUCGCAAGAGUGAUGAAUCCGCGCGGCUGUCCCAUUAAUUUUAUUCGAACCUUCAAUUAUGCGGAUGCGUUCUCCUCAUUCUGCUGUCACAUCGCGGCCGGGUAGGACGUGAGGCAAUUCGCAGCCGGCCAGAUAUCCCCUGUCAGACAUCGGCCGUAGCGAAAGUUUAAUUUGCGCCGUCCGAAUUUUAAUGGAUCCCGACAUAUUGUGUCCCGCGCAGGUAAUUCCUGUCGGAUUUAAAGGAACCGCUCGGGCCGGGCGAGCCGGUGCGCACAACGAGACUACUCCCGGUUGCAUCGGCAAUCAAAAUCCCGGGACCCGGGCUCGUUGUGAAGCGAGAUAAAGUCAAUCUCCGUGGCAUUUUCGUGCACGCCGUUGCACGCUGCAGCCGCUCCUUGGUCCACCUUGUUUUCUGCUCCGUGCUUCGCCUUCCCGUCUUCCUCGCCUGAACCGACACGUCGGUCCUGAUAUCGCAAUAAUGCGCCGCGGCCGAUUUCUCUCUCUCUUUCUCUUUCUCUUUCGCACGUGAGCGCGAUCGCCACUCCGUUCCCUCGUUAUCUCGGCAAACCAGAAAUUUCCGGGACCGGAACCGUCGAAGCUCGCGCAUGGAGCAGCUCCGAGCGUUAAAAGUCGACUCUCUUCCUGCCUCUUGCCUUCUCCUCGAAAGCGUCGUCCGUGCGUCCCGAUAACCGCGCGCGCGGUGUAGGUAUCGUCGGAGCGAUAUAUUCGAUACGUCGUAAAUUCAGCCGGGUAACGAGGCGACCGUCGAAAGUGACUCGAAAUAAACGACAGGAGGUAGGUACCCAGCUUCUACCUCCCUACCAUCCCGCGCCACCCCUCGCUCCUUCUCAUUUUCUCCUUCUCAGCAUCUCCGCUGGACCGUGCUCGCGGACGUAGCGGACGAUCGUAAAUCAAAAAGCGCGACUCUCCCGAAAACUCUUUUCUCGCGAGGCGAAACGAGAGAGGAGCAGAAGGAGCGGAGAUGCUGCCGACGCCGGAGCGGAGCACGGAUGCUGCAAGAGACGAUGGAGAAGUGCGGAGAGUAGCGGCGAAGAAAGAAGGGGGCCGUACGCGGGAGUAGCGCGCGCGAAAGAGGAUCGGAGACGGAAGCGACGUUCCCGCGGGAUAAAUCAUGGACGGCGUAAAUUAAAGCAGUCCUGCCUGCCUUACCCUCGCGCUGCCUCACCAUCACCACCACCGCCACUACCACCACCACCACCACCACCAUCGUCUGGCAGUGUCUUCUCUCUUUUUCCCCGCCUCGAGUGACUUAUCGAGCGAGAUGCCGGGCCUCCGCGCGUUCUCGGAAGCGAGUUCUCGCGCGGCCGCGAUAAAUAAAAUGCGCUCCGGACAAAUUGUAUCGGCGUUACAAGCCACAGCCGAGUGAGAGGGAUUAAAGCGAGAAGUACGAGCCGCGCUUAAUUCAAUUAGCAGUCGGCAGUAGGCGAGACAAUAGUCUCCCAAACGGAACGGGAAGGUGAAAAGACAUUCGCGCGUGCCUGUUGAAGUUGAAGAAUGCCUUUUAUACAUACCACACUGAAGCCAUUGAAGCGUGCUUGUAACGAGAACGCGUGGAAAAUUGAUCAUUAUUAUUCUAAAUUGUUUUUCAUUACUCUCUAUCUGAAUACCAAAGCUUUCGAAAAGGCGCACUUUAGCGUCAACGAGUUUGACAUACUUCAUUAUAUUUUAGCAGACCUUGUCGUUCUGUUUACGUGCGCUCGCUGAGGAUGAGGACUUCGCUCGUGCGCGACGAUUGGAGUACGCUGCACGUUGUCGCGCUAUCCUCAGAAUUUGAAUGCCGCCUACGAGACGGAGGAUCAGCUCUCCUCGGCAUUUCUUUGUUACACGCGUUCAAUGCAUCUUGCAACGAACGUCGGACGCAUCAUCGCGCGACGGUAAUUUCGCAUAAAUCGGGGAAACCUGCUCUCGCGGAGUUUCGCGGCGCGCGCGUACGAGCGGAAUGGGAGCGCGAUCUUCCCACGCGAGCGUCGAUGCGUGCUUCACGUUGUGGCGUAGACAAACGACACGACGAUCCUCAUGGCCGUCCCUAUCUUGCUCCUUCUUCGAUCGCUCCCAAGAGCAGUGUCUUUCUUGAUGCCUAAAGGCUGUUUCGUACGUUCCGAGAGCAAGAGAAAUUUUCCUCACUCAUUCUUUCACUUCUUCCUCCAUCUUUCCAGUACACUCCUUUCCUGAAUGCAGGAGCGUUACGUCAUUCCAGAUGCAGUUACAACGAAUGGGAGUUAAUCAAUAUCGCGACUUUUAGAAAGAUCUGUCAACUCUGAAAAUGCCACGGCAGGCGCGCCGAUACAAAGAGAUCGCGAGAACAAAGAUCAAAGCGAAUCGCGCAUCUGCAUUCCGACGGGAUAAGGUCGAGCCUAGCUCAGCUACGCUUCGAGAUCGGCUUGCACACGCAGGUGUUUCUAAUUGGUUAUUUAUAAGCGAUUCUUAACCCGGCGCUGAUUUACUGCGUUUAGCAGCACGCGCAGAUAGGAUUUUACACGAGCCAAUUACAAUCGGCCGAUGGCACGAUUAUCUUAGUCAUCGGUCACCUGGCUAGUCUGCCAAUGGAGAUCGGUACGAGGAUCGGAUACGAGUGUUUGUGCUGGAUCGAAGGUUUUUCACGCUAAACGGACGUAGAAACGUGUCGUCCUCGAUGAUGAGGUCGCGGUACGUUUUCAAAAACGUUUGAGAUAAUCUUCCCACUUGUCUUGGCGAAUUACAUUUCUUGACUUUUUCACUGUCUUUCAAUCUUCCCAGUAGCUGUAUCUAAACAUAAUCAAUGAAGAAGUUUAGGAAAUCUAAAUUGAUGUGAUACUAUCGAAUUGAAUGCAACAUUAGGCACUAAUCAAGAUAAUUGUAACGUUGGGCCAUCUGCAAUUUUGUAGUGACGCAAGCUGAUCAUCGUACGCGACAAUAAGUGAAAAUUAGCGAUCUCGGAUGUUCGAAUUCGGACGACAUCCUGGUUGCUAAAUCGACAGCGAUCGAGAAGCCUCUCUUUUAGGAGAGACCUUAGAAAGUCGACAUCCUGACCGAGAAUCGUCGUCCGGUGUGCUUUAUGGCUAGCUUCGACGUUUCCGACGUCGACGAUCGUUGUCGUCGCGGUAGCGCAAGAAGUCGAGUGAUUUAAUGGAAAUGCGUUCCCACGCAUACGCGCAUCCUCUCGUGCCUCGCGUCCCAUCGCUCUUUUUUCACGCUCGUUCCUCGGAUUCGCGCGUGUGACGUUCGUCUAUUCAAUAUACCGUACACGUCGCAUUAUGUGCAACCUGAAAACGCACAUUCGCCGUUAUACCAGAAAUAUACUUGGAAAAGUCACGUUCAUUUAAGAUCAAGUGCAAUCGGAUCCAUCGCGUAUAACAAUAUGGAAUUUCAACAUUAAUUAAUUCAACAUAUUGCCACCAGAAAUGAGAAGUAAUGCUAAUUCUUUAGUAGUAAUCGGGAGAAAUGGAUAUUGCAGAUAAAAAUGUGUAUCGGAAAAUAUCGAUACUAAUGAGAGAGACACUAUUAAUUUUCUCGUCAAGAGAUCGCGCUAUUCUACUUACCCGGAUUACGACGACUCUUUACCUCGCGUACUCUUUCCCCGCGUAUUUACCAAUUGAUUGAAUAACGCAUUCGCAGGCUGUCACAAAGAGAUCUCUUGGUAAUUUUCUGUCGACUCGUAUGUAUGCUCGCGAGGAGAGUGAUAUUUUCACUCAUCAAUAAUCGAUCGAUUACUCUAACGGGAAACGGCGGAUAUUCGACGAAUGGGAAGAAAUGAAUGAAAUGCGGGACACGCUCCGUCGCGUUUCAGCGUUACAAUGUACCAGCGAUAAAUAAUCCUUUUAACGGUUAAACUCUUUAUCAUAAUCUCAAUCCACGCGUCAUUUCCUCAAUCUGACCUAGCUUCGAUUAGCGCACACGUCGCUCGCAACGUAUCGCGUGCCUACUAAGUAAUGAUGCUCUAGAGGGAGGUUUAAUCUCGGCGAUAAAGUCGUUGAUGCAAUUAGGACGAUUAGCCUUAUCGGCGCUAUGUCCGGCAGGCGACCACUACCGACAUCAUUGAACCGGUAUCGAUAUCGAUCUCACGAGUGGAGAACGCUAAACGUGGAUCGCGCGUGCGUUAGCGAGUAAAUUAUCGACGAUGCAGCUCGUCGUUCAAACACUCAGAGUUUCUAAUUCCGACCGGCGAAACGGUCUCUAAUUGUGCGUAAAAUUGUGCGUUUGCCUCGAAACGGAGACAGGAAGCAAUAAAUUGCCUAAAUCUGUUUGCUCGUUCCUAUGCCGAGCCCUCACCGUUCUUUCAGCGCAAUUAAGUUAAACGUCAGAUUGCAAUAUAUUAGAUGCUAUUUUUACAUCAAUAAAAAAGUAAUAAGAGAAAUAAGAAAAAAACAUUAAUAAAAAAGAAAUAAGAGAAAGGAUCACUAAAAAAGUCUAAUUUAAAAUAUAUUUGCGAAGAAAGCAUGUUUGUCUCAGAUAUCUAUUAUGAUAUUUCAAAUGAUUGUUAAAGAACUAAAUGCUAAGAAUUAUGAAUCAUUCUUUUAAAACAUGGCGCGCAAAAAUUUCCGCGGAGAAAGCUCAGGCAACCACGAUAAUUGUUGACGUUAACGAGGAAGAAACAUUUUCACGGCAAUUCGGCGGCGUAUCGAAGUUGCCUUUACAACGCGAUCGUGUUGUACCUCAUAAAAAGACAAUUCUGCGCUUGAGAGAAGUAACGGGACCGUGGCGAAGGAUCUGUCGACGUCUCGGCAAAAAGAACGGGGGAUUCCUCGAAGAUUAAAGCAUCGUCGUGCACCACGAGCAACCGCAAUGCUCGCGACGAUUCUUGCCGGGACCCACCUUGAAGCCGGCGAUCUCUCGGACAGUAAUCGAGCCAGUUACCGCCGAGUAAAUGACGUACGGCAACGUUAAGGAUAAAGUACGAGCGAUUCUCGAGCACACCUAUCACCACCUAUCACCACCUGUGCUGACCUACGACUCUCCCCGUAAUGAAACGCGUCCGUGUUGAAAUGUCGUUCGCCAUGGCAUAAAUUACCCAUUAAAUGCGUGCGAUGUGAAUUCGCUCGGGAAGCGCAGUCAAUUAAAAUCGGUAUGCCAAUUUGCGCGGCUUCGUGUACCUAGUUGAAUCUAAUUACGGAUAUUGAAGAGCAGAUAGUGAAGAAAAAUAUGCAAUCAUUAAGCAUUAGAUGAUACUCAAGACUACAGUGCAUUUGUACCAGUUUCAGAAACAAGCAAUGAGAUUUAGUGAACUAUGUCGAGAUCUCUAUCGACCGAUAUCUUUAAUUUGCAAUAUUGAACCUCCAACGUGUGUUCUGGUAAAGGCUUCGAACGAGCUCGCGUAGUUUGGGAAAGAGGAUCAGAAUCGGACUCGCGGUGACGAGAUCAUUAAAGGACGCGGGGUGGCGCGCCGUCAAAAGGACUAAUGAAUCGCGCCUUGUGCUCUCCGGCCGAAUUCGAAAGUCCUCGGACAGAAUAAAGCGCCUCCUUGUCGUCCCCUUCGAACCGCCACGCCGGGAUCGGUCCAAGGCUUACUUUCCAGAGCCGGCGAGCACGGCACGGACACAAGAGAGCCGCUGAUCAAUAGCUAGUGGUCGGCGGGGAGCCGUCGUGUCGCCGGCGCGGUGGCGAUGUCGUCAAUUUUUUUAUUACGAGUCCGGACACGAACGCAGGCGCGCACGCACACGUACGUACGGAUGGACGAGACACGCCGCAUGCUUGAAGGAACUGCACGGAGGAGAGUUCCUUCACAUCGGAUUUCACAGAUUGCGAUUCUCGCUGAUCCCGCGGACUCGAUCGUCCCUCGUGCUGUAUUACAUCGACUGACGCUUUAUAUCCGUCAAAAAGAUUUAUAAUUGAAAGAUAGUCAUAAGCAUCAAAAAACGCGAAAAUUUGAGAUAAAAUAAAUGCACCGUCUAGUAGAUAAGAAUUAUCAAGUUACCCCUGUUGCAGAGGCUUUUUAAUUCUAAAUAACGUAAAUCGUAGAGAAAUAUGAUCUUAAAUAAUUAAAAAACUUUUUAUUUAUUGAGUAAUAAAAUAACUCGAAUGGGAAAAAUAUGAGAGAUUUAAUGCAGCGCAUAACUUACAAUAGUUACACGCGUUCUUUUAUUUUGCAUCCCGAUGAACGAAACACGAGCUUGCUGUUCACGUUUCAAUCCAGCUGUUGUAAUAUCGCGUUCGGAAGCUAUCGGAGCGGGGUUGCUUCACGUGUACUUCGUCAUAGGAAUCUACCUCCUUCGGAUGCGCCUCCUAACGAGCGUGUGUACACGUCCUGCCGAGUGCCUCGGUCCCCGUUCUUCCUCGCCUCCUUCAGGAACAAUAGCCGCUCCAGCAGGGGAGUUAAUCUACAUACGCAAAUUCCAUCGAUAGAUCUUAGGCGGCGAGAGAGAAGGCGGCUGCGUAUCGCCGGGCGUACACGCGUACGUCUUCAACAAUGGGAAUCGCUUCGCGGCCCUGGUCGGCAUCCCGCCUGAAGGAAGGACAAUAAGCACGGCUUGAUAGUUAUUGUGCCUAGUCCAGCUCUCUCCCGAGAAGACCUGGCAAGAGAAGUCGGUGCCCUGUAGGGGAUAAUGAAUAUUCCGAGCCCGUAUCAAUUUCGGGACCGCUUGAGUUAAAGACGCUAGAGGUACUCUUGCGCCAAACGUGAAUUUCAGAGUCUUCAGGCUUCCUCAGCAACCUCGAUAUGUUACUCUCGAGUCAUGGUUCACUCGAACACACCGGAAUCAUCGUAUUUUCCCGGCACUCGAAUACGUUACCAACCAUCAACGAGGAGAGGGAGGGAAAAGCAUUUCCUUCGGUCUCGGUCAUGACACGCGGUGACCGUAGGUCGAGGAUAGCGCAACGACCUUAGAGGUCGAUGCACUUCUCUCGUGCACUCGUCGGCACGGCGUAGCGCGGCGUCAAAACAAGACCGGCCAAUGCGACGUGCCGGGUUCACCUCCGUAUAACCGGGGAACAGUUCCCACCGUCUAGUCAUCCGGGUGCUCCUUGUGCAGGGGGAAAAGCAGGCCCCUACCGUCGUUUCCCUCGUCUUCCUCCGCCUCCUUCACCUCCGUGUGUCCGCGUCGCACGUCCUUUCUCCUCGCGCGAGCACUCGCGCGAUUCCUGGAAGCUCGCGGAGGCGCAGCGCUGUCUGGCCAAGCCGGGGACCCGCUCGUCUGUACCUACCGAAGCACAAAUACCCACGAGGAUGCCGCGCGAGUACGGAAAGGGUGAGAAACAGAGAGGAGGAGGCGGCGGAUGGAGGAGAUGAUGACGAUCAAGCGAGAUGGAGAAACAGAGGAAGAGAGAGACGGCGAGGAACGAGUAAAACCAGGCAGCUCGCUCACCCGGCUACCUUGCCACGUAGAGGAGAGAUACCUACGGUAUAAAAGAGCGGUGAGCAGAGAGGAGCCGCUUCUAAGUAGCUACGUGAUCAGCGAUAAUAACGCGACUUGGAAACGUGGAAGAUCGCGUACUUCCUACCCGCUAACCAUUCCCUCCCUGCCACCCUUCCCUUUUUUUCGCAUCGGGAACGUGUACGGGGUUGGAUCGGUCGAUCGAUCGUUUGGCCCUUAUACUACCGUGUCGAUGCAGUGCCACGAUGGCUAGUAAGAGGCGUUGCCGCAAGGUUUAGGUCUCAUCAUAGAUACCUUCGAGAGUGUGCAUUUCCAGUUCCCGGAAACGAGGAGGUAACGGCCAUCGCGUUGCUUCGCGUCCACCUGUGCUUCUGCUUCUUUUUCUUCAUCGUUGUCGUCGAGGUCGAUUUGUGCUCUCGCAGAAUGAUAACUUUGCAAUCAAGCUCCUGAACGUGACGCAUUUUUAUGCCAGAUUACAAUGUUAGACGCGAAGAUGGUAAGAGAGAAAAAGAGAUGUAAGGAACAUGAGCAGAUAACAGAUGUAAUGUCUGACAAAAAGGGACAUCCACAUGUCCUUAAAGUAAUAUAAAAUUUCCUACAUUCCUUAUACAGAAUUAUUGAGAAAUUGUUAAAAUAAGAUACUGAUUCGACCAAAAAA